CUCGUAGGCGGUCGCAUACGGCGGUGGUGAAAGCUCCCGGCUUAACUGGGAGAGGCCCGCCGCAACGGUGCGACUCGAGGAUGGUAGAGGCAGAUGGAAUUCCUGGUGUAGCGGUGAAAUGCGUAGAGAUCAGGAGGAACACCCGUGGCGAAGGCGGUCUGCUGGGCCAUUUCUGACGCUGAGGAGCGAAAGCUAGGGGAGCGAACGGGAUUAGAUACCCCGGUAGUCCUAGCCGUAAACGAUGGAUACUAGGUGUCAGCGGUAUCGACCCCGCUGGUGCCGUAGCUAACGCGUGAAGUAUCCCGCCUGGGGAGUACGGCCGCAAGGUUGAA
rnacentral:rRNA from 1 species